CCUGAGUACGACGGAGCACGUGAAAUUCCGUCGGAAUCUGGGAGGACCAUCUCCUAAGGCUAAAUACUCUCUAGUGACCGAUAGUGAACCAGUACCGUGAGGGAAAGGUGAAAAGUACCCCGGAAGGGGAGUGAAAGAGAACUUGAAACCGUGUGCUUACAAGUAGUCAGAGCCCGUUAAUGGGUGAUGGCGUGCCUUUUGUAGAAUGAACCGGCGAGUUACGAUCUGAUGCAAGGUUAAGCAGAAAAUGUGGAGCCGUAGCGAAAGCGAGUCUGAAUAGGGCGAAUGAGUAUUUGGUCGUAGACCCGAAACCAGGUGAUCUACCCUUGGUCAGGUUGAAGUUCAGGUAACACUGAAUGGAGGACCGAACCGACUUACGUUGAAAAGUGAGCGGAUGAACUGAGGGUAGCGGAGAAAUUCCAAUCGAACUUGGAGAUAGCUGGUUCUCUCCGAAAUAGCUUUAGGGCUAGCCUCAAGUGAUGAUUAUUGGAGGUAGAGCACUGUUUGGACGAGGGGCCCCUCUCGGGUUACCGAAUUCAGACAAACUCCGAAUGCCAAAUAAUUUAACUUGGGAGUCAGAAUGUGGGUGAUAAGGUCCAUAUUCGAAAGGGAAACAGCCCAGACCACCAGCUAAGGUCCCAAAAUAUAUGUUAAGUGGAAAAGGAUGUGGCGUUGCCCAGACAACUAGGAUGUUGGCUUAGAAGCAGCCAUCAUUUAAAGAGUGCGU
rnacentral:rRNA from 1 species